GAGAGAAAAAAGAGAACU
rnacentral:miRNA from 1 species